rnacentral:rRNA from 1 species
AUUGAACGCUGGCGGCAGGCCUAACACAUGCAAGUCGAGCGGAUGAAGGGAGCUUGCUCCUGGAUUCAGCGGCGGACGGGUGAGUAAUGCCUAGGAAUCUGCCUGGUAGUGGGGGAUAACGUCCGGAAACGGGCGCUAAUACCGCAUACGUCCUGAGGGAGAAAGUGGGGGAUCUUCGGACCUCACGCUAUCCGAUGAGCCUAGGUCGGAUUAGCUAGUUGGUGGGGUAAAGGCCUACCAAGGCGACGAUCCGUAACUGGUCUGAGAGGAUGAUCAGUCACACUGGAACUGAGACACGGUCCAGACUCCUACGGGAGGCAGCAGUGGGGAAUAUUGGACAAUGGGCGAAAGCCUGAUCCAGCCAUGCCGCGUGUGUGAAGAAGGUCUUCGGAUUGUAAAGCACUUUAAGUUGGGAGGAAGGGCAGUAAGUUAAUACCUUGCUGUUUUGACGGUACCAACAGAAUAAGCACCGGCUAACUUCGUG